ACUAGGGAGGGAAGCCACUGCAAAAAAAAGAAAGCAUUAUUGCAUGGCUCCACAAAGGGAGAAAUUGAUUAAAUUUUGCCUUCUUAGUUCCCCAAAUCUGAUUCUGGCCUGUUCCACAUGAUGGAGGUGAACAAGGCAAAGCUGGGAGCAGCUUCCAGCUGGGUCAGCUUUUGCUGGGAACUGAGCACAGGAACAUCCAGGGGUGGUCCAAGCACAGGGUCCUUCACCCUGUGCCAAUCCCCAGCACUCCUUUCUCCUAGCCAGGAGGGCAGCAUGGCUACAGCAGCUGCACUAAACCCCUCUGCUAACACUGGCCAGAGCUUCAUCUCCUGGUGUUGAAGAGAGGCAAUGGGUGAGCCACCACAGGCUGUGGUCAUGAGGACUUUUGGAGGAUCGGGCAAGACUUGCAAGGAGAUGAGUGAAACGGAGCCGCAUUGAGGCUGAGUUCGGGGGGCUGCUCUGGCUGCUGAUGGAGCAGGAGCACACGGUGCUGGGGCGGCUGGCUGAGCUGGACCACACUUUGGCGGCUGCCCACACUGAAAAAUCAUUACGGGUGGCCGGGGGUGUUGCACAGUUCCACAGACUCAUUGGGCAGCUGGAGGACAGGAUGUUGGGAGCAUCCUAAGGAGCUGGAGUGAAAUGAGGCUCCACCUCCCCUCGGGACUCCCCAAGGACCUGGAGAAGAGUCUGAGCUCCUGCUGCUGCCAAAAGGAUGCUCUGUGGGAGGCUCUGUAGAGGUUCAGAGGUAUUUGGGUAGAAAUUGAAUAUUUUAGGAGAAUUCAUGGGUAUUUUAGGAGGAUUUGGAGGCUCUGGGGAGGAAUGCAGAGAUAUUUGGGAUAAUUCAGAUAUAUUGGGGGGAGGAAUUCAGAGUUAUUUUGGGAGGAAUUCAGUUUCAUUUUGGGAUAAUUUAGUUAUCUGGGGAGAAGUCAGAGGCAUUUCAGGAGGAAGAGGAGGAAAGGAAGGCAGCACCUGCUUACUCCUCACCUUCUUCCCUCCUCCCAGAUGUGGGUCCCCCCAUGGGCCUCCCCAAACCAAAGACUACGCUGGAGACUGGCACAACUCCUCUCCCACAGCUUUUGGGAAAGCAGAAAAGUGUGCGGUGGGAGGAAUAGGAGAAGGAGGAGCAGGACAAGGCCAGAGACCCCCGUUGAGGCCAGGAGAUGUCUGGCAGCUGUCAGGGGGUCAUUGCCAGGAAAUGCAGGACAUGGACAGAGUAGCUGAAGUCUGCAAGAUGCCACCUUGUGCAUCCUCAUCCUAAGUGCUGCCCAUAUUCCUAGGGACCCAAAUGGUUUUAUAACUGUGGGAAUCCUUAAAAUUAGAGGUUUUUGGGAAACCUGCAAAAAGCAGGUCUCAGAAACAGCAGAACUGCAAUUAGAUCUAAGCAGUAGCCAUAAGAUUUGUCAGCAGAAAAGUUAUAUGAGAUGUAGAAAGCAAGGAUAAAUAAAACAAUGGUCUGUGUAUUAAAGCUUGGCAAGAAUAACUCCCUAAGCAGAAAAGCAUAUCUAGCAAGAUAUUAGAAAGUUCUAAGCUUAAUAAUGGAGCUCUGUGCAUUAUAUUUUAAAGCUUACAAGCAGGUAUUGUAUUCAAAAUAAGCAAGCAUUGUUUCAUCCAAAGAUAUGUAUACUUAUAGUGGUUGGAUAAAAUUACUGGCAAUGUGCUUUUACUUUUUGUGAUUGGUCAAAAAACUUUUAAAGUGCAUUGUAACACCAAGUUCUGCGGCUGCUGCCGACGAUGUGAGCUGCUGGCACCUUCCCAUUGUCCCAACCAUGUAAUGAGUCUGAUACUGAAAAUAAACAGCUCGAGACGUGUUCCACAACAGUCCUGUCCUGUUCGUGAUGCUGUAAAAAAACCCAAAAAACCCGUGGCUGGCAUGACAAGCUCCUCUCUCAGCUUAUUUAAUUAGUAACCAAUGUUGUG